rnacentral:tRNA from 1 species
UGCAGUGUGGUGUAGUGGUCUGAGUGUUGGACUACAACUCUGGAGAUCAGGGUUCAAUUCCCUGCUUGGCCA